rnacentral:misc_RNA from 1 species
GAUGAAGAACGUAGCGAAAUGCGAUACGUAGUGUGAAUUGCAGAAUUCAGUGAAUCAUCGAAUCUUUGAACGCACAUUGCACCUCUCGGUAUUCCGGGAGGUAUGCCUGUUCGAGCGUCAUUUACACCCUCAAGCCUAGCUUGGUGUUGGGCGUCUGUCCCGCCGUUUUCGCGCGCGGACUCGCCUCAAAGUCAUUGGCGGCGGUCGUGCCGGCCCCCUCGCGCAGCACAUUUGCGCUUCUCGGAGGCCCGGCGGAUCCGCGCUCCAGCAAGACCUUUCACGACUUGACCUCGGAUCAGGUAGGGAUACCCGCUGAACUUAAGCAUAUCAAUAAGCGGAGGA